GACCGAAUGGCGUAGUGGUUAGUGACCCUGACUACUGAGCAGAAGGUCCCGGGUUCGAUUUCCGGCUGGGGCA
rnacentral:tRNA from 1 species